rnacentral:sRNA from 1 species
GCUGGGUAUGGUGGUGCACGCCUGUAAUCCCAGUGGCUCUGGAGGCUGAGGCAGGAGGAUUGUGAGUUCAAAGCCUGCCUCCA